rnacentral:rRNA from 1 species
UUUUUAUGGAGAGUUUGAUCCUGGCUCAGGAUGAACGCUGGCGGCGUGCCUAAUACAUGCAAGUCGAGCGAACAGACGAGGAGCUUGCUCCUCUGACGUUAGCGGCGGACGGGUGAGUAACACGUGGAUAACCUACCUAUAAGACUGGGAUAACUUCGGGAAACCGGAGCUAAUACCGGAUAAUAUAUUGAACCGCAUGGUUCAAUAGUGAAAGACGGUUUUGCUGUCACUUAUAGAUGGAUCAGCGCCGCAUUAGCUAGUUGGUAAGGUAACGGCUUACCAAGGCAA